CUGCCCUGGUCCUCUGAAGGCAUCAGGGUCCUUUCUGAAGGAGAUAUCACAUUUUUUUACUGAUUCCAGAUGUCCAAUGAAUUUGAGAACUGCAUUUCAUCUGAUCCAUAAUUUUGUACUGUAUGCUGGAAUUUUUGCCAAAUCAAUCUGAGAAAAUAAGUUGGCAGUAUUUCCAGUUUCAAAAGCAGGUGUGAAAUGAAUUUAAGCUUUGCAGGAUGGUGAGGACCUAGGCCAGGCUCUUGAUGACCACGGCUUACCACCGAGGACCGUGUGCCGGGAAGCUGUGCAGACACAGGCUGUGGAUUUCAGAUGCCUCUGCAAAGACCUAGUUGUGCAUCCGGCCAGUUCUGCUUCAUUUUCUGGUGCAAAUGGAAGCUGUGCCAGUAAGCGUCUAUGGAUUUCACUGAGUUGCACUGUGUUCUUUUUUCAUACUCGUAAUUUUGGAUUUCAGAAAAGUGAAGGUGUUGAAAAGAGUUCACAGAUUUUAAAACUUUACGUUAACAUUUUUAAAGAGCAUAGAGUUUGACAUUUCUCCUGAAGCAGCUGCUUCGUCACUAUUGAUUGCCUUGACUUCUAGUUCUAGAAAUAAACAGAAGUUCUAUCUCACAAAUGUUCAAACUAGGACUUAACAGAAGUUCACAGACAAAUAAGUCUAUUCUUAGUUCCCCAAGAGCUCACCAAAUCUCGUGCUUUAUUUGUAAUCCAUGGGCCUAGGAUUAUUGGCUUUCUCUAUCUCACAUUCUUUUGAGAAUAAGCAGAAUAUAAAUAAACUCCAAACAUAUUUUUAAAAAGUGCCUUUGUAUUAUAACCCUCAUCCAUGCAGUGGACACUUCAUGAUUGGGUCCCAGUAUUUCAUUUCUCCUUUCUAACUUCCACUUUCCUUUUAGGGACCCAUGAGGUUCUCGGAAUACUGUUUCUAUCCUCAGCCCCUAAGAUAGAGCAGGUGACACAGGCUAAGUCAAUGACUCAGUCAGAGUCUGAGGGGUGGGAUGUGGAAAUGGGAGGCUUGAAACAAGAGCAAAUGUUUUGCUACCAUGAAGAAAGCCAACCUGAAGAAGAAGCCAGUACACGGGGCAGACAGAGUUGAGAACAUGAGGCGGGAAAAAAGCCAGAGUACUGAUGACUCAUAUCUCAUUGACCAGGACUGGGUCACCUACCUACACAAAAGCGAAAACAAAUGGGGUUGGGCAAAUCAUAAUCUAUAUUUUGGGGCUCAGGAUGGAUCCCACUUCCCUGUGUACACCGCUGUUUGAUAAUCUGAAAAAAAUUAGGGAUCUUCACAUGGCUGCAUUGGCGACUAACAGUGUUUGCCAUAUCCACCAAGGAUAUCAUCAAAAACAUCUGUUACAAACCUUUUUGUCUUCUACCUUGAGAGAAAUAUUUUUAUCAAAAUGUUCAAAGCAC
rnacentral:lncRNA from 1 species